GUAAGAAAUAAUUCAUACCAGUGAGUGUUGAAACUCAAACAAUGCAAAGGGGAGGCAAUAUCCAGUGAUUAGCAAUUUCAUAGCUUUUGCACAUCUGAGAAAUGUGUGCUCAGAUGAUUUGAUCUUCUGCAAGGAUGUUUUUAUAAGAAUUGUGUGUGUGCCGAUCUUUAAAAAG